rnacentral:rRNA from 1 species
AGAAUCAACGCUGGCGGCGUGCCUAACACAUGCAAGUCGAACGAGAAAGUGGAGCAAUCCAUGAGUAAAGUGGCGACCGGGUGAGUAACACGUGACUAACCUACCUUCGAGUGGGGGAUAACCUCGGGAAACCGAGGCUAAUACCGCAUAACAUCGCAAGAUCAAAGCAGCAAUGCGCUUGAAGAGGGGGUCGCGGCUGAUUAGCUAGUUGGCGGGGUAACGGCCCACCAAGGCGAAGAUCGGUA